AUUGAACGCUGGCGGCAGGCCUAACACAUGCAAGUCGAACGAGGCGCGGACGGGUGUGAAGUGUCUGGGUCACUGCCUGAUGGAGGGGGAUAGACACGGGAAACUGUAGAUAAUACCGCAAUACAUCGGAUGUGCCCAGAUGGGAUUAGCUAGUAGGAGGGGUAAAGGCUCACCGAGGCGACGCUCCCUAGCUGGUCAGAGAGGAUGACCAGCCACACUGGAACUGAGACACGUUCCAGACUCCGACGUGAGGAAGCAUUGGGGAAUAUUGCACAAUGGGCGCAAGCCUGAUGCAGCCAUGCCGCUUGUAUGAAGAAGGCCGUCGGGUUGUAAAGUACUUUCAGCCGGGAGGCGUUACCCGCAGAAGAAGCACCGGCUAACUCCGUGCCAGCAGCCGCGGUAAUAC
rnacentral:rRNA from 1 species